ACAUGAACAGAUAGCCCUUCUUCAGGCCCAGGUAGGCUGAGAGAACAAACCACAUAUUACCAUAUAACAUCUUUAAAACACAUAACAUCAGGUUGUAACAUGAACAGAUAGCCCUUCUUCAGGCCCAGGUAGGCUGAGAGAACAAACCACAUAUUACCAUAUAACAUCUUUAAAACACAUAACAUCAGGUUGUAACAUGAACAGAUAGCCCUUCUUCAGGCCCAGGUAGGCUGAGAGAACAAACCACAUAUUACCAUAUAACAUCUUUAAAACACAUAACAUCAGGUUGUAACAUGAACAGAUAGC